rnacentral:rRNA from 1 species
UACAGAGGGUGCGAGCGUUAAUCGGAAUUACUGGGCGUAAAGCGUGCGUAGACGGUCAUGUAAGUCGGGUGUGAAAUCCCCGGGCUCAACCUGGGAAUUGCAUUCGAGACUGCGUGGCUAGGGUGCGGAAGAGGGAGGUGGAAUUCCCGGUGUAGCGGUGAAAUGCGUAGAUAUGUGGAGGAACAUCGGUGGCGAAGGCGGCCUCCUGGUCCAGCACCGACGCUCAUGCACGAAAGCGUCGGGAGCAAACAGG